rnacentral:rRNA from 1 species
CAGGCUUAAUACAUGCAAGUCGUGGGGCAACAGGUCCGUAGCAAUACGGAUGCUGGCGACCGGCAAACGGGUGCGUAACACGUACGCAACCUUCCUUCAGGCGGGGAAUAGCCCGGGGAAACCCGGAUUAAUACCCCAUAAAAUCUUGAGAUGGCAUCAUCUUAUUAUUAAAGCUUCGGCACCUGAUGAUGGGCGUGCGGCUGAUUAGGUAGUUGGCGGGGUAACGGCCCACCAAGCCAGCGAUCAGUAGCUGAUGUGAGAGCAUGAUCAGCCACACGGGCACUGGGACACGGGCCCGACUCCUACGGGAGGCAGCAGUAAGGAAUAUUGGUCAAUGGACGAAAGUCUGAACCAGCCAUGCCGCGUGGAGGAUGAAGGUCCUCUGGAUUGUAAACUUCUUUUAUUUGGGACGAAAAAGGGGAAUUCUUUCCCACUUGACGGUACCAGAUGAAUAAGCACCGGCUAACUCCGUGCCAGCCGCCGCAGUAAAAC